rnacentral:rRNA from 1 species
AGUGAACGCUGGCGGUAGGCCUAACACAUGCAAGUCGAACGGCAGCACAGUAAGAGCUUGCUCUUACGGGUGGCGAGUGGCGGACGGGUGAGGAAUACAUCGGAAUCUACUUUUUCGUGGGGGAUAACGUAGGGAAACUUACGCCAAUACCGCAUACGACCUACGGGUGAAAGCAGGGGAUCUUCGGACCUUGCGCGAUUGAAUGAGCCGAUGUCGGAUUAGCUAGUUGGCGGGGUAAAGGCCCACCAAGGCGACGAUCCGUAGCUGGUCUGAGAGGAUGAUCAGCCACACUGGAACUGAGACACGGUCCAGACUCCUACGGGAGGCAGCAGUGGGGAAUAUUGGACAAUGGGCGCAAGCCUGAUCCAGCCAUACCGCGUGGGUGAAGAAGGCCUUCGGGUUGUAAAGCCCUUUUGUUGGGAAAGAAAAGCAGCAGGUUAAUACCCCGCUGUUCUGACGGUACCCAAAGAAGAAGCACCGGCUAACUUCGU